GAGGCAAGACAAGUUAUAAAAUGUGUUUUCAGCAUCUCAACGGGGUAAUUACCUGGUCUCUUUGUCUUAACUUGCUGUCGUUUCUCACGGACAGAAUUGAAAAGGCUGGACUGACUUGUGUGGCAGCAGGGGACUCACAAGAAAGACAAGAUGAAUUGCCCGCUCAGCACUUCUGGCUGAAGGAAUCGCUGGAGUCAGGCAGGGGUCCAGAGGACGGGAAAAUAAUCAGGAUGAAGGAACUGAUGGACUGCUGGUAUUGUGGCUAAGCUUUCAGACAAUACAAGGAUAGGUAGAGCAUUGACCUACCUGGAAACAGAAGCCAAAAAUAAUAAAAACGACGUAGUCAUCCCGGGUGCUGUUUGAUGAUGGCAACAGGAAGCAAGUGUCAUGGAGACCCAUG